GGCUUUAUAGUCAUUAAUGAUAUUAGACUGCAAUUCUAAAGGAGCAGAAUCUCUGCUAAGGCUU
rnacentral:tRNA from 1 species